GCGGCCUAUCAGCUUGUUGGUGGGGUAAUGGCCUACCAAGGCGACGACGGGUAGCCGGCCUGAGAGGGUGUACGGCCACAUUGGGACUGAGACACGGCCCAGACUCCUACGGGAGGCAGCAGUGGGGAAUAUUGCACAAUGGGCGCAAGCCUGAUGCAGCGACGCCGCGUGGGGGAUGAAGGCCUUCGGGUUGUAAACUCCUUUCGCUAGGGAAGAAGCCUUUUGGUGACGGUACCUGGAUAAGAAGCACCGGCUAACUACGUGCCAGCAGCCGCGGUAAUACGUAGGGUGCGAGCGUUGUCCGGAAUUACUGGGCGUAAAGAGCUCGUAGGUGGUUUGUCGCGUCGUCUGUGAAAUCCCGGGGCUUAACUUCGGGCGUGCAGGCGAUACGGGCAUAACUAGAGUGCUGUAGGGGAGACUGGAAUUCCU
rnacentral:rRNA from 1 species